UUUAAUUGAAGAGUUUGAUCAUGGCUCAGAUUGAACGCUGGCGGCAGGCCUAACACAUGCAAGUCGAGCGGA
rnacentral:rRNA from 1 species